UGGGGGAUAUUGCACAAUGGAGGAAACUCUGAUGCAGCAACGCCGCGUGAAGGAUGAAGGUCUUCGGAUUGUAAACUUUUGUACUUGGGGACGAUAAUGACGGUACCCAAGCAGCAAGCUCCGGCUAACUACGUGCCAGCAGCCGCGGUAAUACGUAGGGAGCAAGCGUUGUCCGGAUUUACUGGGUGUAAAGGGUGCGUAGGCGGCCAUACAAGUCAGUUGUGAAAACUAUGGGCUCAACCCAUAGCCUGCAAUUGAAACUGCGUGGCUUGAGUGAAGUAGAGGUAGGUGGAAUUCCCGGUGUAGCGGUGAAAUGCGUAGAGAUCGGGAGGAACACCAGUGGCGAAGGCGACCUACUGGGCUUUAACUGACGCUGAGGCACGAAAGCAUGGGUAGCAAACAGGAUUAGAUACCCUGGUAGUCCAUGCUGUAAACGAUGAUUACUAGGUGUGG
rnacentral:rRNA from 1 species